rnacentral:lncRNA from 1 species
GUCAUUCUACAUUACGAUAAUGUACCUAAAGGUGUGAGACACAAUGAUGCAAGACAGAGGUAAGACAGAGAGACACAACGAGAACGGAGGUGAGAUGGAGAGAACGAACCUGAGACAGACACAUGUAGCUGGGAAUAUAGAGCGAGAAUGGAGAGGAAGAGAGCGCAGUUGAGACGGAGACAGGAAGAAAGGGCAGCGCAAAAGAGUAACUGGAUAUUAGGGUGACAUUUUUAAAUACCGAGUUUGUUAAUAUUAAUUUUUUUCUAAAACCAACGUUAAUGAAAUUAUGUUAACCUCGACGUAUCAACGUUAAAUCCAUAUUUUUAGAAGUGUCAUACAGGUUGAAGUCAUAGAUGCAUCCAUGAUCCAACCAUAAUACAUGCAACUUGACUAAACAAUAUUAUAUUAUUCUUGGUUUAUGGGUACUUCUUGUACGAUCCAAUUCAAUAAAUCUUUUGUUGUAAUUGCUGAUUAAAAAUAUAUUAUUCUUGG